rnacentral:lncRNA from 1 species
CUGAGGUAGAUGGGAUUCACACUGAAGGUCUGCUGCAGCUUGUACUUGUCCUUGACCCUGUGGGUUUGCAAAUGGCCAUUAGUGGCUGAGGUCUCUCCAGAGGAGGCAAGGCGUUCCUGCGUGCUCGGAGCUAGGCUGCUACACUCACCAGAACCCAGUACAGUCAAAAUGCACCAUCAUCCACUUGGAAGGAUUAAAGGUGAAGGAGUAAGUGGGGCUGAAGGAGGCAUCAUUACCUCCUAACGGGAAAGUCUACAAAGCCUCACCCUUGCCUUUUUCUUCCACUGGGUAAAGGGCCAGCACCCUCUUGGCCUCAGCCUAGAACAUCCUGGCACAGAAAUCAAUUUCCCACCAGCACAGAGAGCAAUGUCAGUGCACCGAAUACAAAAGUUAGAGGGAAGGUAUCUCUCUUUCCUAGUGGUUUCUUGCUUGGGGAUUAAACAGCCCCAUCUGGGUUUCCUCUCUGCCUUUAAUCUCUCCCAUGAUUUCCCCUACCCUACCCUUUUCCUUUUCUGAAGGUAGAAUAGAAAGCAUUUCUAUUCUAGCCUAAUUCACACUGUAUUUUGGAUAUAGCCUGCAUUAAGUAAAGUUCAACAUACAAGUAAGAGGAUGAGAAAACCGAAGGCUGUCCUACUGUCGCCUCCUAGGACAGGAGGCAAGGUAGGCCACCUCUAACUCUUGUCACACCACUGGGAAAGGCAAUGUCCAGGGAUCCCUGGAAGAGACCCUCAUGACCUUUGGUGGUUCUUCCCAUGUCUCUGCAUUGACCAAAGAGGAACAAGAAUAAUCCCAUAGAGCUGGUUUCAGGUCCUUGCUUUAGGAGACAUUUAAAAAUGUAUUCCUUGUCUUCCUAGCCAGAGAGGGAAGAUACUUACAGAUGGGGCCCAGCUCUGACAGGCAGUCAAAUGCACAGACCCCAGUGGUCCCUAGUGUUGCACAGACCUAGGGGAAAAUUAAAGCAAGUUAACACAGGAGGGUGGGCUCACGUGACACAUUUGGCCUGAGAAAGAUUUCACCACAGAAGUGAUCUACUCCCAUCCAUCCCACCAGAACAGUGUAUAUUUCAGACUGUGUUUUACCAUGGCUCGUAAGAAACACAUUUUAUAUAACAAUCUAGUACAUGUAUACAUGUGUAUUUGAAAAAAAGUUUCAUAAAACAAUACAUACUCUGGCUAUAUGUGUGCACUCUAAUAUUUUAUACUAUAUUUCUUUUUAAUGCUGGUUAUGACCCACAAAAUUUAUUCCAUAACACACCUAUGGAUAGCACCUCAUGAUGUGUAAAAUACUGUAUGGGAGGACCUUUCUGCUUUUGUGUGCAGCAUGUUACUUACCUGAAUUCUGCCAAAAUUCCUUCCUCACAUCCAAGUUCUAUCAUUCUAAGCUUAGGCAUAUAUCCUGACUUACAAAGACAGGCACCAAGCCCCGCUGCUUGUCUUCCUCGAUGGCCUUCUGAAGAGCUUCCCCUCGGAGUGAGAAGUUGUCAUCCACAGGCAGAAAUUUCAUCUUCACAAGGGAAAUCAAACCAGCCUUUUCCACAGAGGAGUGAGCCUAGAAGGGCCACAGAAACCUGUCAGCAAAGAGUCAUCCUGGAAUGAUCACCCCCCCAGAAACUGCUGAAGCCUAAGACUCGGGAACCAAAUAUGAUCAUUGGAAGCUUGUCUUCCCUACAGUUGCUGGAGACAAGCUCCCAUGUCUGAGCUGCUCAGAACCCCAGCGUGCUCACAUCUAGAAAAAAAUUGC